AAAGAAGUUUCCCUCUCACUUGCCAGUUUUCCUCUCCCCCUCGUCUCUCUCAUUCGUUGUGGUGUCCAAGUUUGCUUUCAAUCGUUCUUUAAAACUACAGGUGGUUCGCUUGUGUUUUUUCUAGUUCCUACUCUUGAGGUGGUGCGCUAUAGAUUGUUCCACGAAUCCACUUUCUAUUUGAGCAAACAACAGUUGUUGCCUUUGUUCCAUUCUCUGGCUCCUCCACUGCACCGCUAUGUGUGAAAGCAAUGCCAUCACACUGCGACCUGCAGUUGUCGCACGUCAGCCUACCUUUGUUGGUCGUCUCCUGAUUUCUGAGUGAUCCACUUGAAUUUGUAAGUUGUAUUUUUAUUUUCCUUUUUUCCUAAAACUUGGUAUUUUCAGUUGAAACUUGGGCAUGUUGUAAAUUGUAAGUAGCCUCUUUACCCACCCUUUGAGACUUUACUUGUAUAACUAAUUAGUUUUGCUUAAAUGAGACUAUAUUUUCUGUAACGAGUUAUUUCUUUCUUACAAAGUCAAUUCAAAUAAACAAUUUUGACAUUUUUUUGUGAUAUUUGGUGUGGAAAUAUGGUGCCAACAUCUAAGUUCAGUUGCUUGUCUAGUGAAGAGGACCUUGUAUUACAGCUAGGGGUGUAAACGAGCCGAGCUACUCGAGAUUGGCUAGUAAAAAGCUCGAAACAAGCCGGGCUUAAUUCAACCCAUUUAGUUUUCCAGGUAGAAGAAGCUCAGCAGAAAUGGCGUGUGGCGUUUACUAAAACGAAAAACAAGCUGAAAAUUGCAUUUUCUAAACAGUAAAAGAGGCGAACAUAGAAGAAAUCAGGUAACAGGCAUGAUGCACUGAUGCAGACUGUUAUAACUUUUCUUAUUCCGAUGCACUGAUGAAGGCAUGAUAAGCAAUCCAGCUUAACAAAGGAAACACGGGCGCAGUGGUGGUGAUGUCUAUGGAGCUUACGGUAGUUGUUCUUCUGGAUGCAGUGGUAGUGCUGGGGGUUCAAGGCACAUCCCUGCUUCUAGAAGGCAGGGUUAUAAUUACUGAAGAUGAAGCCUGAAGCCAGCCUAAACAACCAGAAGACCUGUUGAACCGAACCGGUUAUGGCCCACCUUAAGAGGACAACUGAACCAGAAGACCAUGUCCCGACACUAUUUUACCAAGGUGAAGGAAAUUCAGCUUACUAGAGGCAUUGAAAAAACCACCUAAUGCUUGGUGAAGGGCUUAAAAUGUUGUGAAAAGAAGUUAUAUACAACCGUUGGUACUGGCUAGAAGAAACCUUUGGAAACCUGAGUACGAAACUGGAUAUUCAACUCUGGUUUUGUUGCAGGUUUGAUGACGUUGUUUCGUCGACGAUUUUAUGGCGGCAACGCGAUCUGCAGAUAUGUUUUGGCCUUGUAUUAACACGAUUUGCAGAUCUAUUUUUGAAACCCAAGUCUUGAAUACUAGUAGGUCCUAAAGUUAUGAAAUUUUUGUAAUUAACAACAGCCACGUUAAAGUGCUUAAUAAGAUUCUUGUUUAAUGCAGUAGAUAUAGGUUUAGGGUUAAUGCUUAUUGGAUUAUAGAAAGGAAAUGUUUGGUCAAUUUAAGAUGAGU
rnacentral:lncRNA from 1 species